AUACGGAGGGUGCGAGCGUUAAUCGGAAUUACUGGGCGUAAAGCGCGCGUAGGCGGAUAAUUAAGUCAGAUGCGAAAUCCCCGGGCUCAACCUGGGAACUGCAUUUGAUACUGAUUAACUAGAGUAUGGUAGAGGUGAGUGGAAUUUCCGGUGUAGCGGUGAAAUGCGUAGAGAUCGGAAGGAACACCAGUGGCGAAGGCGACUCACUGGGCCAUUACUGACGCCGAGGUGCGAAAGCGUGGGUAGCAAACAGGAUUAGAAACCCGAGUAGUCC
rnacentral:rRNA from 1 species